UGGAGAGUUUGAUCCUGGCUCAGGACGAACGCUGGCGGCGUGCUUAACACAUGCAAGUCGAACGGAAAGGCCCUUCGGGGUACUCGAGUGGCGAACGGGUGAGUAACACGUGGGUGAUCUGCCCUGCACUUUGGGAUAAGCCUGGGAAACUGGGUCUAAUACCGAAUAGGAUCAUGGCCUGCAUGGGUUGUGGUGGAAAGCUUUUGCGGUGUGGGAUGGGCCCGCGGCCUAUCAGCUUGUUGGUGGGGUAAUGGCCUACCAAGGCGACGACGGGUAGCCGGCCUGAGAGGGUGACCGGCCACACUGGGACUGAGAUACGGCCCAGACUCCUACGGGAGGCAGCAGUGGGGAAUAUUGCACAAUGGGCGCAAGCCUGAUGCAGCGACGCCGCGUGAGGGAUGACGGCCUUCGGGUUGUAAACCUCUUUCAGUAGGGACGAAGCGCAAGUGACGGUACCUAUAGAAGAAGGACCGGCCAACUACGUGCCAGCAGCCGCGGUA
rnacentral:rRNA from 1 species